UGAUUCUGUGAAAAUCCAGUUAAAUUUUGGUAAGUACUUACAAGGAUGGAAAUCAACAAGUAACACGUAACGCGAUCUGUUCUUGCACUGAGCAGUGGGGAAUCUCUUAAUGAAAAAAUAGGAUCAGAUUUAUUUACGUUGCUAUCAAAAAGCUGUGUAAAACAUAGUUCAGCAUCUUUAGUUCAAAUUUGUCUGAAAUAAACUGAACUAAAGAUGUAAGGUUCUUUCUUCAUGUCUAAUUCACGUUCAGGAGGAAAAGAAGAGCAUUAUUACUCAAGUUCAGGGGAUCUGGAUCAGAACUGUGAAGACUACUGAUGAAGCACUUUUGACAGGGAGGAAUUUUUAGAAAAAUACGGAUAUCAGUGACUGAGAUUCUCCCUUGUUCUCAUGCUCUUAGGUGGCUGUUAAGAGCUGUGACUAACCCAGCCCUUAAGCCUCAUGCACUGUGUCCUACCUAACUCUUCCUUUUUGUAGUUUGGUCUCUUAUACUUCCUUCUCUUUAGUGUGUUUACAUAUUUAAAGACUUAACUCAUGUCUUUUCUCUGCUUUUUAGUGCUUUCCCCACAGAGACCUCAUUUGGUCUAAAAAAUGUGUCCAAAAAUGAUGCAUAAAAUAAGCUGAAUAGAGAAUUAUUUCUCCUCUUAAAUGUGUUUGCUUGUAUGUGCAUUUCAGUUCCAGUAGCAUUUUGUUGGUAACUAAGCCUGUAAUCCCCAGCAAUUGCAGUGGGAAAAUGUAAAGCAGCAGCACUGCCUGGCUUCAGUCUUCUGGCUGCCCAGCCAUCUGCGUCUGUUUAACACAGCAGCAACUGAAUGCUCAACGUUCAGGUUUCAACAAAAUUUGGCUCUGCAUUUCAUAUUCUUAUGUUGAUGAGUUCAUAUCAGCUUUGAGAGCACUUUCUGCCUGGAACUUACUACCCAGAUUGCAAUGUCCCAGCCAUGUACUGUUGGCACCCUGGGUAAAGGCAGUAAGUGAGGCAGGUAAUGCCACCUGGUGUUCAUUAGCACACAUGGGAGUACAUGUGUGUGUAUUAGUGCUUGUUUUCUGGGUCACUUUUGCCAUUAUAUAACAAUCUGUAGUCUGUAAAUAGCGUAGUUCAAAGAAGGUACUGUUUGCAGGAUAUCCAGUGGGGGCUGUUUUGUUUUGUGGUGUUUGUUUUUAAAAGCAUCACUGUCCUUUUCAUCUUUGCAUUUUUAGGGAAAUUCCUAGAAGCAGCUAUCCAGCAAGAAGGAUGCACGUCAUUGAUGAGGACCUCCUCCUAGGAACAAAGAACCAGAAAAAGAAAGCAAUCAAGGAAAAAAAGUGAGUGUGAACCAGAACAGAAAUGGAGAAAGACUGAAAAGGGGAAAAAAGUAGAAAACCUAAGAAAGCCAAUAAGCCUGAAGAUAAACAUCAAAGAUGCAAACUACCAAUCAAAACCAUCACCUCACUAUAAAGAGAGCCAACAAGGACAAGACUUGCUGUACUAAAAAAGCUCUCCAUCAAAUCCAGGCUUUAACCUCUGAAACCAACCACUCAGCGUUAUCAAAAUUAGCAUCUUAAUUAUUCUUUUCUUUAAUCAGUAAUUCCUUUUCAUGACACUGCAGGGCUUUUAGGUCUUUAAACAAAUGUAAUCUUAAUUGAAUAAAGAAAUAAAAAUUAA